CUCAGAAAGAAAAAAUUGAUAAUUCUGAGAUUGGAUUUCGUUGAAUUUUCUGGAUAUACGCCUGUCGUAGUUCCACGUAACCACCAAAGCAAUUCAAGCAAAAGACCAGAAUAGCUGAAAAGGAGAUUCAUCCUCCAAAGCACCGAAGAAAUGAGACGGUGAACGCCAGCUACAACGACACGAUCGAAAAUGGCAACGACGAUUCAGUCCGAUAUUCGUUCGGCUCUGCACAUGGCAUCCUCGACCUUCCGUUCUCUCAGCCCCAACCUCAUCCUCUCACGCGCCGCCGCGCGUCGAGCUCUGCCGUAUUAUUCCUCCUCCUCCCCGACGGCUACAACGAAGUCGUCGCUCAUCUUGAGAGCUUUCUCCUCCGCGGACUCCGCGAGCGACGUCGUUCUGAAGGUUCCGGAAAAGCCGUCCAUGUGCACCGCCGACGAGCUCCAUUAUGUCUCCGUGCCCAGCUGCGAUUGGAGGCUCGCCCUCUGGCGCUACCAUCCAUCCCCUCAGGCGCCUCCGAGGAAUCAUCCACUGUUGCUGUUGUCUGGGGUGGGAACUAACGCCAUUGGAUACGAUCUCUCUCCUGAGUCGUCAUUUGCUCGAUACAUGUCAGGCCAAGGUUUUGACACAUGGAUCCUUGAAGUUCGUGGUGCUGGGUUGAGCGUGCAGGGAUCAAAGUCUAAAGAAAUUAAGCAGUCUGCCUAUGAAAGAUCUGAGCAGAUGGAAGCUGCUUCGAGGAGUACAACUAAUGGAGCUUUUCCUGUGGAAGCGCAGUCAACCAUUCCUGGUGCCUUGGAAGAAUCUGAAACGUUUUCUGUCAAAGGAGAAGAAUCUGAGAGUAUAGCUGUUGAGGGAGACAUGAUGGGUACAGCAACAGUGUGGGACGAAUCAAGACUAGUGAUGAAGUUGACAGAAACCUUUAUGCGUUUGUCAGAAAGACUCUCUGGUUUUCUCAGUGAAGGUCAGUCCAGGAUCAUGUAUGCUAAAUUUUUUGACCAGAUAUCAAAGCUUUUGGUGGAUUCUCAAUUAUCUGAACGAUUUAAUGAGAUAAGGGAAAAACUAUCAAAUUUGUUGGAAACAAGACAAAAUUCCAGUAUUACUAACCAAAUCUGGGAUCUUAGUCAAAGAAUUGUUAGUAUCAUUGAAGAGGGUCAACGAUCGGUUUCACCUCCGUUGUUUGACUUGCAAGAGCGUCUCGCUUCAACGAUAGAGGACUUUCAGAAACAACUUGACUUGAUAGUGAAAUAUGACUGGGAUUUUGAUCAUUACUUGGAAGAGGAUGUUCCAGCUGCGGUGGAAUAUAUAAUAGAAGAAAGCAGGCCAAAGGAUGGUAAGUUGCUUGCAAUUGGACACUCCAUGGGUGGUAUCUUGCUUUAUGCAACUCUGUCACGAUGCGCUUUUGAAGGAAGAGACUCCAGAUUCGCGGCUAUUGUAACUUUGGCAUCAUCCCUUGACUACAUGUCUUCAAAAUCAACUCUCAAAUUGCUCUUACCACUUGCAGAUCCUGCACAGGCUCUUAAUGUACCUGUUGUUCCUUUAGGGGCGCUACUGGCAGCAGCUUAUCCACUUUCAUCUCGACCUCCUUAUGUCUUGUCUUGGCUUAAUUAUCUGAUUUCAGCGGAGGACAUGAUGCAUCCAGAGUUGUUAGAAAAGCUCAUCUUGAACAACUUUUGUACCAUACCUGCUAACCUUAUCUUGCAGCUAACUACAGCUUUUCGAGAGGGUGGGUUACGCGACAGGAGUGGCACAUUUUCCUACAAGGAUCAUAUACACAAAAUCAAUGUCCCUGUCUUAGCACUCGCUGGUGACCGGGAUUUUAUAUGCCCACCUGAAGCUGUGGAGGAAACUGUUAAGCUGAUUCCUCAGCACCUGGCUACCUAUAAAGUAUUUGGAGAACCUGGAGGUCCACAUUAUGCCCACUAUGAUUUGGUGGGAGGACGAUUGGCAAUGGAGCAGGUUUAUCCCUGUAUAAUCCAAUUUCUUAGUCGUCAUGACUCAACAUGAUUGUCUGGGCAAUGGAACUUCACGGCACUGAGUGAGUUUGAUUUCCAAGCAGGGAGGAUGUGCAGAUAAAGCAUUCCAUGCAUAGAUUGUUAGCAGAAGUUGCGAAGCAAAGCUUUGUUACUAGUUCAAUUGACUGUGAUCACGCCUCAUGAAGCGGAGAGCUCACUAGUUUAAAUCUCCCCUUCCCUUUUCCCUUGAGGUCAAAAAUUACUUAUCAAAAGAAAAACUAUUUUUUUUUUUGUAAAUUAUCAUUAGAAUUGGUGAUAGGGUAAUCAAAAUCAAGGAACAAGGAACAAAAAGGCUUGCUUCUUUCCAUCAUAUAGCGUGUGGAUCUUGGUCAAUUGUGUAAUAAGAAUUUGUUCGAA